rnacentral:rRNA from 1 species
CCUGGCUCACGAUGAACGCUAGCUACAGGCUUAACACAUGCAAGUCGAGGGGCAGCAUGGUCUUAGCUUGCUAAGGCCGAUGGCGACCGGCGCACGGGUGAGUAACACGUAUCCAACCUGCCGUCUACUCUUGGACAGCCUUCUGAAAGGAAGAUUAAUACAAGAUGGCAUCAUGAGUCCGCAUGUUCACAUGAUUAAAGGUAUUCCGGUAGACGAUGGGGAUGCGUUCCAUUAGAUAGUAGGCGGGGUAACGGCCCACCUAGUCUUCGAUGGAUAGGGGUUCUGAGAGGAAGGUCCCCCACAUUGGAACUGAGACACGGUCCAAACUCCUACGGGAGGCAGCAGUGAGGAAUAUUGGUCAAUGGGCGAGAGCCUGAACCAGCCAAGUAGCGUGAAGGAUGACUGCCCUAUGGGUUGUAAACUUCUUUUAUAAAGGAAUAAAGUCGGGUAUGGAUACCCGUUUGCAUGUACUUUAUGAAUAAGGAUCGGCUAACUCCGUGCCAGCAGCCGCGGUAAUACGGAGGAUCCGAGCGUUAUCCGGAUUUAUUGGGUUUAAAGGGAGCGUAGAUGGAUGUUUAAGUCAGUUGUGAAACUUUGCGGCUCAACCGUACAAUUGCAGUUGAUACUGGAUAUCUUGAGUGCAGCUGACGCAGGCGGAAUUCGUGGUGUAGCGGUGAAAUGCUUAGAUAUCACGAAGAACUCCGAUUGCGAAGGCAGCCUGCUAAGCUGCAACUGACAUUGAGGCUCGAAAGUGUGGGUAUCAAACAGGAUUAGAUACCCUGGUAGUCCACACGGUAAACGAUGAAUACUCGCUGUNUGCGAUAUACUGCAAGCGGCCAAGCGAAAGCGUUAAGUAUUCCACCUGGGGAGUACGCCGGCAACGGUGAAACUCAAAGGAAUUGACGGGGGCCCGCACAAGCGGAGGAACAUGUGGUUUAAUUCGAUGAUACGCGAGGAACCUUACCCGGGCUUAAAUUGCAGAUGAAUUACGGUGAAAGCCGUAAGCCGCAAGGCAUCUGUGAAGGUGCUGCAUGGUUGUCGUCAGCUCGUGCCGUGAGGUGUCGGCUUAAGUGCCAUAACGAGCGCAACCCUUGUUGUCAGUUACUAACAGGUUCCGCUGAGGACUCUGACAAGACUGCCAUCGUAAGAUGUGAGGAAGGUGGGGAUGACGUCAAAUCAGCACGGCCCUUACGUCCGGGGCUACACACGUGUUACAAUGGGGGGUACAGAGGGCCGCUACCACGCGAGUGGAUGCCAAUCCCCAAAACCUCUCUCAGUUCGGACUGGAGUCUGCAACCCGACUCCACGAAGCUGGAUUCGCUAGUAAUCGCGCAUCAGCCACGGCGCGGUGAAUACGUUCCCGGGCCUUGCACACACCGCC